rnacentral:rRNA from 1 species
GUCGAACGGAUUAUUCUUUAUAGCUUGCUACGAAGAUAAUUAGUGGCAGACGGGUGAGUAAUGCAUAGGAAUCUACCUAGUAGUAUAGGAUAGCCACUAGAAAUGGUGGGUAAUACUGUAUAAUCCCUGCGGGGGAAAGAUUUAUCGCUACAUGAUGAGCCUAUGUUAGAUUAGCUAGUUGGUAGGGUAAAGGCCUACCAAGGCGAUGAUCUAUAGCUGGUCUGAGAGGAUGAUCAGCCACACUGGAACUGAGAUACGGUCCAGACUCCUACGGGAGGCAGCAGUGGGGAAUAUUGGACAAUGGGCGCAGGCCUGAUCCAGCUAUGCCGCGUGAGUGAGGAAGGCCUUAGGGUUGUAAAACUCUUUCAGUAGGGAAGAUAAUGACGGUACCUA